AAAAAGACAAACCCUGGUUUCCGUGCACAACGUUUGACCGUCCGUCUUAUUUGAAAAAAUUAUGAAAAAAAUUAAAAAGACAAGUCAUGCAUAAAAUAUUAAUCAUGUUUUAUCAUCAAACAACAAUAAAAAUACGAAUUAUAAAAAAAUUUUAUAUAAGACGAACAGUCAAAAUUGGAAAAAAAUCCAGUGUUUUACUUUUU
rnacentral:pre_miRNA from 1 species